rnacentral:rRNA from 1 species
GAUGAACGCUAGCUACAGGCUUAACACAUGCAAGUCGAGGGGAAACGAUAUUGGAAGCUUGCUUCCGAUAGGCGUCGACCGGCGCACGGGUGAGUAACGCGUAUCCAACCUGCCCAUCACUUGGGGAUAACCUUGCGAAAGUAAGACUAAUACCCAAUGACGUCUCUAGAAGACAUCUGAAGGAGAUUAAAGAUUUAUCGGUGAUGGAUGGGGAUGCGUCUGAUUAGCUUGUUGGCGGGGUAACGGCCCACCAAGGCGACGAUCAGUAGGGGUUCUGAGAGGAAGGUCCCCCCACAUUGGAACUGAGACACGGUCCAAACUCCUACGGGAGGCAGCAGUGAGGAAUAUUGGUCAAUGGGCAGAGCCUGAACCAGCCAAGUAGCGUGCAGGAUGACGGCCCUAUGGGUUGUAAACUGCUUUUAUAAGGGAAUAAAGUGGGAGUCGUGACUCUUUUUGCAUGUACCUUAUGAAUAAGGACCGGCUAAUUCCGUGCCAGCAGCCG